UUUUGAUUGCUGCUCAGCAAGCACGGAAUAUUUGAAAGGUUGUCGAGUUGCAAUCAAAGA
rnacentral:pre_miRNA from 1 species